AUCCUCUCAGGAUCGCACCUGGAGAGUUUCUACUACUCUACCAGUCUUGACUACGGGAGGAAGAGUCAAGCAGAAGCAUACCCAUUCCAUUCCUAACUUGAACAGUAGCUAGCGAGUGGAAGGUAAUCGGCUACAAGU